AGCAUAUCAAUAAGCGGAGGAAAAGAAACUAACAAGGAUUCCCGUAGUAACUGCGAGUGAAGUGGGAAGAGCUCAAAUUUGAAAUCUGGCGGUUCUGGCCGUCCGAGUUGUAAUCUAGAGAAGUGUUACCUGCGCUGGGCCGUGUACAAGUCUCCUGGAACGGAGCGUCAUAGAGGGUGAGAAUCCCGUCUCUGACACGGACUACCAGGGCUUUGUGGUAUACUCUCAAAGAGUCGAGUUGUUUGGGAAUGCAGCUCAAAAUGGGUGGUAAACUCCAUCUAAAGCUAAAUACUGGCGAGAGACCGAUAGUGAACAAGUACCGUGAGGGAAAGAUGAAAAGAACUUUGGAAAGAGAGUUAAACAGUACGUGAAAUUGCUGAAAGGGAAACGCUUGAAGUCAGUCGCGUUGGCUGGGGAUCAGCCUCACAAACAAGUGUGGUGUAUUUCCUGGUUGACGGGUCAGCAUCAAUUUUGACCACUGGAGAAAGGCUUGGGGAAUGUAGCAGCCCUGGCUGUGUUAUAGCCUCUUGUCAGAUACAGUGGUUGGGAUUGAGGUGUGCAGCACGCCGCGAGGCCGGGGCUAAAAUAGCCCACGUUCGUGCUUAGGAUGUUGACAUAAUGGCUUUAAGCGACCCGUCUUGAAACACGGACCAAGGAGUCUAACAUGCCUGCAAGUGUUUGGGUGGAAAACCCGUGCGCGCAAUGAAAGUGAAAGUUGAGAUCCCUGUCGUGGGGAGCAUCGACGCCCGGACCUGAACUUUUGGGAUGGAUCUGCGGUAGAGCAUGUAUGUUGGGACCCGAAAGAUGGUGAACUAUGCCUGAAUAGGGCGAAGCCAGAGGAAACUCUGGUGGAGGCUCGUAGCGAUUCUGACGUGCAAAUCGAUCGUCAAAUUUGGGUAUAGGGGCGAAAGACUAAUCGAACCAUCUAGUAGCUGGUUCCUGCC
rnacentral:rRNA from 2 species